UCCCUGGUGGUCCAAUGGUUAGGCGCUUUCAUUGCUGAGGCCCAGGUUCAAUCCCUGGUCAGGGAA
rnacentral:tRNA from 1 species